rnacentral:rRNA from 1 species
AACGAACGCUGGCGGCGUGGAUAAGACAUGCAAGUCGAACGAUCGACUAUUGGGUAGCAAUAUUCGGUAGUGGGAGUGGCGCAAGGGUGCGUAACACGUGGGUAAUUUGCCGUAAAGUCUGGGAUAACUUGCUGAAAGGCGAGCUAAUACCGGAUGUGAUUGCUGGAGGGCAUCCUCUGGCACUUAAAGUCGGGGACCGCAAGGCCUGACACUUUUCGAUAAGCCCGCGGCCUAUCAGCUAGUUGGUGAGGUAACGGCUCACCAAGGCUAAGACGGGUAGCUGGUCUGAGAGGACGACCAGCCUCACUGGAACUGAGACACGGUCCAGACACCUACGGGUGGCAGCAGUCGAGAAUUUUUCNCAAUGGGGAAACCCUGAAGGAGCGACGCCGCGUGGGGGAUGAAUGGCUUCGGCCCGUAAACCCCUGUCAUUUGCGAUCAAACCUUACGACCUAACACGUCGUAAGCU